CCUACGGGCGGCUGCAGUCGAGAAUCAUUCACAAUGGGGGAAACCCUGAUGGUGCGACGCCGCGUGGGGGAAUGAAGGUCUUCGGAUUGUAAACCCCUGUCAUGUGGGAGCAAAUUAAAAAGAUAGUACCACAAGAGGAAGAGACGGCUAACUCUGUGCCAGCAGCCGCGGUAAUACAGAGGUCUCAAGCGUUGUUCGGAAUCACUGGGCGGAAAGCGUGCGUAGGCUGUUUCGUAAGUCGUGUGUGAAAGGCGCGGGCUCAACCCGCGGACGGCACAUGAUACUGCGAGACUAGAGUAAUGGAGGGGGAACCGGAAUUCUCGGUGUAGCAGUGAAAUGCGUAGAUAUCGAGAGGAACACUCGUGGCGAAGGCGGGUUCCUGGACAUUAACUGACGCUGAGGCACGAAGGCCAGGGGAGCGAAAGGGAUUAGAUACCCGGGUAGUC
rnacentral:rRNA from 1 species